rnacentral:rRNA from 1 species
UACGACUACAUAUCAGGCAUAUCAAUAAGCGGAGGAAAAGAAACUAACUAGGAUUCCCUCAGUAACGGCGAGUGAAGCGGGAAGAGCUCAAAUUUGAAAUCUUCAAGGUUUUACCUCGACGAAUUGUAGUUUAAAGAAGUGUUUUCUGUUGGUGUUUUGGUAAAAGUUCUUUGGAAUAGGACAUCAUAGAGGGUGAGAAUCCCGUAUUUGACCAUUAUUUUCAACUGUGUGAUACACUUUCAACGAGUCGGAUUGUUUGGGAAUGCAGUCCAAAAUGGGUGGUAAAUUUCAUCUAAAGCUAAAUACUUGGCGAGAGACCGAUAGCGAACAAGUACCGUGAGGGAAAGAUGAAAAGAACUUUGAAAGGAGAGUUAAACAGUACGUGAAAUUGUCAAAAGGGAAGCGUUUGACACCAGUGUUGUUUUCUCGAAAAUCAAUUAAAAAUGGCAGUGAUUUUGUGUUGUAUUGACCUUAAAAGCUUUCUUCACUUUUUUCAUGUCUUUUUUAAUGCACUUUUCGUUUAACAAGUCAACAUCAGUUUCUUUUGUUGUAAAAGGGUCAUUGGAAGGUGGCUUUCUUUUCGGAGAAAGUGUUUAUAGCCUUUGGCUUCUGCAAUCGGAGAGAUUGAGGUCUGCAGCGUAGAUCCUUCGGGGUUAGAUACGUAGAUGCUAAGUUAUAGUUUUUCAUAGACAACUUGUUGACUAUGAUUAAUCAUGUAGCCUACUCGUUUACGCUAUUUUACCUACGCUUAGGAUGUUGAAUCUGUGCGAGACUA